rnacentral:rRNA from 1 species
AUUGAACGCUGGCGGCAGGCCUAACACAUGCAAGUCGAGCGCGAAAGUUCGUCGGAAUGAGUAAAGCGGCGGACGGGUGAGUAAUGCAUGGGAAUCUGCCUGGUAGUGUGGGACAACGUUUCGAAAGAGACGCUAAUACCGCAUACGCCCUACGGGGGAAAGGGGGGGAUCUUCGGACCUCUCGCUAUCAGAUGAGCCCAUGUCAGAUUAUCUUGUUGGUGAGGUAAAGGCUCGCCAAGGCGACGAUCUGUAACUGGUCUGAGAGGAUGAUCAGUCACACUGGAACUGGGACACAGUCCAGACUCCUACGGGAGGCAGCAGUGGGGAAUAUUGGACAAUGGGCGAAAGCCUGAUCCAGCCAUGCCGCGUGUGUGAAGAAGGCCUUAGGGUUGUAAAGCACUUUCAGUGGGGAGAAAUGUUAUUCACCUAAUACGUGAGUAAAUUGAUGUUACCCACAGAAGAAGCACCGGCUAACUCCGUGCCAGCCGCCGCCGUAAUAC